UACGGGGGGGGCAAGCGUUGUUCGGAAUUACUGGGCGUAAAGGGCUCAUAGGCGGCCCUCUCAGUCGGAUGUGAAAUCCCCAGGCUUAACCUGGGAACGGCAUCCGAUACUGGAGGGCUUGAAUUCGGGAGAGGGAUGCAGAAUUCCAGGUGUAGCGGUGAAAUGCGCAGAUAUCUGGAAGAACACCCGUGGCGAAGGCGGCUUCCUGGAACGACACUGACGCUGAGACGCGAAAGCGUGGGGAGCAAACAGG
rnacentral:rRNA from 1 species